CCCCUCUCAGGAUCACACCUGGAGAGUUUCCAGUCCUCCGCCAGUCUCGGCUACGGGAGGGAGAGUCAAGCAGAGGCCUGUCCGUUCCAUUCCUAGCUUGGGCGAUGGCUAGCGAGUGGAAGGCAAUCUGCUAAAAGU
rfam:Ornithorhynchus anatinus chromosome 1, whole genome shotgun sequence.